rnacentral:rRNA from 1 species
UACGGGGGGAGCAAGCGUUGUUCGGAUUUACUGGGCGUAAAGGGCGCGUAGGCGGCGUGACAAGUCACUUGUGAAAUCUCCGGGCUUAACUCGGAACGGUCAAGUGAUACUGUCGUGCUAGAGUACAGAAGGGGCAACUGGAAUUCUCGGUGUAGCGGUGAAAUGCGUAGAUAUCGAGAGGAACACCGGUGGCGAAGGCGGGACUCUGGGCCGAUACUGACGCUGAGGAGCGAAAGCGUGGGGAGCGAACAGG